GUCAAAUUUCUUUAGUUCCUUGCUUCCUCUGGACGACUGAGCCAAUUGUGGAAGCUGAAUAAUCCGUAAGGAGCAACCAAUG
rfam:Vibrio sp. AND4 1103602000588, whole genome shotgun sequence.